rfam:Nicotiana attenuata strain TT chromosome 6, whole genome shotgun sequence.
UGAGGCCUAUGAUGGAACAUGACAAUAUGCCUACAUUGUCUGAUCAUAUAAAACUUGAUUGAGCAACAUGAUCUGAGGCCUUG